AUUGAACGCUGGCGGCAGGCCUAACACAUGCAAGUCGAACGAGUGGCGGACGGGUGAGUAAUCUCUGGGAAACCGCCUGAUGGAGGGGGAUAACUACUGGAAACGGUAGCUAAUACCGCAUACCCUCGGAUGUGCCCAUAGGGGAUUAGCUGGUAGGGGGGGUAAAGGCUCACCUAGGCGACGAUCCCUAGCUGGUCUGAGAGGAUGACCAGCCAAACUGGAACUGAGACACGGUCCAGACGCCUACGGGAGGCAGCAGUGGGGAAUAUUGCACAAUGGGCGCAAGCCUGAUGCAGCCAUGCCGCGUGUAUGAAGAAGGCCUUCGGGUUGUAAAGUACUUGCAGCGGGGAGGCGUUACCCGCAGAAGAAGCACCGGCUAACUCCGUGCCAGCAGCCGCGGUAAUUC
rnacentral:rRNA from 1 species